rnacentral:lncRNA from 1 species
CAAUGUCUACCAGCAACAAGGGUGGUAGCAGCGGUGACAACGGACAACAAAACCGGCAACAACAUUGCAGUAUCCUGCAUAGAUAGGUUUUUAUUACUGCAAAAUUGAUCCCGGCAGCGCUACCGGUAGUUGCGGUAGAUAGGAUUGUACAUGCAGGUCUCUGCAUAUUGCACCAGGUCUCUGGGCGCAGGCAGACGGGUCGCCAAACCUGCAGAGGAAAGUUUGAGACUUUGGAGGCGAAUGGAAAGAUUUGGAGGUCUACUCAGGGAAACGGAAGCAGAACAGAAAACUUUGGAAAUGUAUCUACAGAAGGAAAGGAGGGUGAAGCGUACCGAGCUCAUAGGCUUUUGCAGCCACGGCGGCAGCAAUGUGAGCGGAGAUCUUUCUGAUGCUGCUGAAGGGCGGGAAGAUCGAUCCCUUCUCAAAGUUCUCCUGAUUGGCCUGAUCAGCUAGUGCUUCCGCU